UACGUAGGGUGCGAGCGCUAAUCGGAAUUACUGGGCGUAAAGCGUGCGCAGGCGGUUCGUUAUGUCCGUUGUGAAAGCCCCGGGCUCAACCUGGGAAUGGCAAUGGAAACUGGCGGGCUAGAGUGUGGCAGAGGGGGGUGGAAUUCCGCGUGUAGCAGUGAAAUGCGUAGAGAUGUGGAGGAACACCGAUGGCGAAGGCAGCCCCCUGGGCUGAGAUUGACGCUCAGGCACGAAAGCGUGGGGAGCAAACAGG
rnacentral:rRNA from 1 species